AUGAAGCGUGCACAAUCAAAAGCGUCUUUUUCCUUAGCUGCAGGCCGGCGCGAAAUCGCGCACAACAAAAGAAGUCUCACCACUGCUAUAUAUACGCCCAUGUAUCCAUUUCAAAACUCAUCGAGCAGCUGUAGCAUUCAGCGGCACACAUUUUCUCCUGCUUCCAGAGUUCUUCCGGUCACCAACAAGCAAUUAUAA
rnacentral:rRNA from 1 species